rnacentral:tRNA from 1 species
GCCGCUGUGGUGAAAUUGGCAGACACGAGGGACUUAAAAUCCCUUUCUGGAAACAGAGUACGGGUUCGACCCCCGUCGGCGGCA